UUAAUUUUAUAUAAAUCCUUAUAAAUAUAAAAAAUUACAAAUAUAUUUUUAUAAAGUUAAUUUUUAUACGUUGUUCUUAUAAAAGUGCUGAUAUUUUUAAAUAUAUCCCUACCGUUAGGAUCCGUUAAAAAAAAUUAGUUAAUCAUAAGUAAAAUAUUUAAUCCAAGUUAGUUAAUAAGUUAAAUUAAUUUUUUCGUCCCUCUUUAAUUAAUAGUUUGAACUUUUUGAGGGACAUAUUUGUGAUAACAAAAAUGUUAUUUCACUUAUAAAAUAAACAGUAUUUUAACCGUAACAAAUUAGAGGAAUAUAUUUGAAAAUAUUAGGAGUUUUGCAAAAGCAACAUACGACAAUUAUAUUUGUAGGAAUGUAUUUAUAAUUUACUAUAUUUAUAGGGGUCUAUA
rnacentral:lncRNA from 1 species